rnacentral:rRNA from 1 species
UACGUAGGGGCCUAGCGUUGUCCGGAAUUACUGGGCGUAAAGGGCGCGUAGGCGGCCAACUAAGUCAGACGUGAAAUCCCUCGGCUCAACCGGGGAACUGCGUCUGAUACUGGAUGGCUUGAAUUCGGGAGAGGGAUGCGGAAUUCCAGGUGUAGCGGUGAAAUGCGUAGAUAUCUGGAGGAACACCGGUGGCGAAGGCGGCAUCCUGGACCGAGAUUGACGCUGAUGCGCGAAAGCCAGGGGAGCAAACGGG